CUGAAUCUCACUGCAGCUGCUGGACGCUGCACAAGAUUAGAUAUUUUAGAACUCUUGUGCGUGUGACAGCGGCUAUUGUGGGUAUUCUUAUUCAACAAU
rfam:Tribolium castaneum strain Georgia GA2 linkage group LG4, whole genome shotgun sequence.